rnacentral:rRNA from 1 species
UACGGAAGGGGCAAGCGUUGUUCGGAAUCAUUGGGCGUAAAGGGCGCGUAGGUGGUUCUGUAUGUCUACCGUGAAAGCGUACGGCUCAACCGUAUUUUGUCGGUGGAAACUGCAGGACUUGAGGCUGGGAGGGGCUGGUGGAAUUCCCUGUGUAGCGGUGAAAUGCGUAGAGAUGGGGGAGAACACUCGUGGCGAAGGCGGCCAGCUAGACCAGUUCUGACACUGAGGCGCGAAAGCGUGGGGAGCGAACAGG